ensembl:lncRNA
AAUAUUCAUCGUGAACGUGAUAUGUAGGCCCAGAGUGAUAGAUAUAACAGAGUGGCGACACUUCCAUUGGACUCCGCUGUAGUGCCUACUUUCGGGGUAUGGAGCCUCGAAUAGUUCCAAACAACCAUUUUACGGCGUAGGAGAUCAUUCAUUUCCAUUGCUGGCCGUCGAGUAACUUCUGAGUUUAAUUAUAUCCUGGAAAGGGUGAUGUUCAGCACAUGAAGCCCUACAGAUGCCGCCGCUUCAACAAUGCUGAUUAUGAUGGGCGGUGAAUUUAACCUGUCCUCCACAGUCGCCCCAUCAGUCCCUGGCAGUCUGGUCCCUGGAGCAGCUGGCCCUGGAUCCAUUGCCCCUGAAUCACCUGCCCCUGGCAAAGUGGCCUCUUGAUUGCACUCUCUGUCUCCUGUCAUGUCCUUUUCAUCGCUCUUGAAAUCCAACUCAAUUUCUCCCUCAAUCUCUGUAACAAUUACAAGGUAAUGUUGCUGUUAUAUGUAUUUUGCCUUUGCAUUUGCAACUUCUGUCAUCUCUAAUGUAAGGCAAUGUAAAAAAAUUAAUUAAAGCAAAACAUUUCUGUAAUGUGAAUUAAAUCAUCUGCCACAAUCAGAAACCAAUAAAAUGUAUAAAUGGAUCUACCGGCAAUUGUUAAUUGGGUAGAAAUGUGUCGAUUAUCUACAUUGUGUGCAAAUCCUCAGAGAAUCCCUGACCUCUGGUUGUUUUUUAAACUGGACAAAUAUGAAUUAUGUAAUCUCAAUAGGAGUGUAGUCUAUCCUUGAAUUACAUGAAAUGGGGAAUAUUGUUAGCUGCAUGGAUCAUACCGAAGUUUAAUUUGGCGCAAUAUGUGUGGUCCGUUGCACUUGGUUCUGGAGGCACCCUCACAGAAGGGGGUUUCCUCCUCUUCGGCUUAGGGCGAUGAAUGAAAACUGUUCGGACUGCAUCGGGCCUCAAGAUCAACAUCCCUUCUCUUUUUGUGGCAGUGAAUUGGUCAUCUUCAAAGUGUACAUGUAGGUAGGCAUGUAAGAUCAGUUUCCAUUGCACUUCAAAUAUCAUUGAAAAGUCAUAAUUCUCUACACUUAGAAAUAUUAUGCCCUUUGAAAUGCUAGCAAGUGAUGUGAACAUUACUUACAUCACAUCGUUUUUUGACCGUUGCUGACCCCUGUCACUUGUACGUUUUGACGGCUGACCAUUGCCAUCCAUUUCUUCCUGCGCUCUUGGUCCUUGGGGAAGCCAUACAUGUGGUAACCCUUCUCGGACCGAUUGGAGCAUCCACACGUUGCGCAGCCAACCAUGGUGUGACCAUUGAUAUAAACCAAUUUUGAAUUUGCUCAGGGCUAUUAUAAGUAUUGUAAUGGCAUAAAGUAUAGUAUAUUUGCAACGUUAUAUGUUAAGGGUUUGCCCGUAUAUAGUGUUCCCUGCUGUGUCCAUUGUUGAAUCUGUUCACACAAUCGCACUCACUUGUUCUUG